ACAUGCCUACAACAUAGAGUUAAUUCACUAGAUGCCAUUAAGACUCUGUAGUUAAGCACGCUCAGGAUAGAGUAGUACUGGGAUGGGUGAUUACCCGGGAAGUCCUACUAUUUUACAUGCC
rnacentral:rRNA from 1 species